GAUGAACGCUGGCGGUAUGCUUAACACAUGCAAGUCGAACGGACUCUUCGGAGUUAGUGGCGGACGGGUGAGUAACGCGUUAGAACCUGGCCUUGGGUUCGGGACAACCACUGGAAACGGUGGCUAAUACCGGAUGUACCGCGUGGUAAAAUAGAAAUUGCUUGAAGAUGAGCUCGGGUCUGAUUAGCUAGUUAGUGAGGUAAAUGCUCACCACGGCAUCGAUCAGUAGCUGGUCUGAGAGGAUGAGCAGCCACACUGGGACUGAGACACGGCCCAGCAUCCUACGGGAGGGAGCAGUGGUGAAUAGUCCGAAAUGGGCGAAAGGCUGACGGAGAAAUACCGUGUGAGGGAAGAAGGCUCUUGUGUUGUAAACCUCUUUUCUUAGGGAAGAACAAAAUGACGGUACCUUAUGAAUAAGCAUCGGCUAACUCCGUG
rnacentral:rRNA from 1 species